rfam:Triticum aestivum genome assembly, contig: Triticum_aestivum_CS42_TGACv1_scaffold_528289_6DL
CAAGUACUCCCUCCGUCCGGAAAUACUUGUCGGAGGAAUGGAUGUAUCUAGAAAUAUCUUAGUUCUAGAUACAUUCAUUUUAUUCCAUUUCUUCGACAAGUAUUUCCGAACGGAGGGAGUUAAGU